GUGCUUACUUCAGCAGCACAUAUACUAAAAUUGAAAAGAUAUGGAGAAGAUUAGCAUGGCCCCUGUGCAAGGAUUACAUGCAAAUUCAUGAAGGGUUCCAUAGUUUU